rnacentral:rRNA from 1 species
GACAGAGGCCCCAAGCGUUAGGCGGAAUCACUGGGCUUAAAGCGUGUGUAGGCGGAUCGUUAAGUGUCUUGUGAAAUCCCACGGCUCACCCGUGGAACUGCUGGGCAUACUGGCGAUCUUGGGCCAACUAGGGGCAGUCGGAACAAGCGGUGAAGCGGUGAAAUGCGUAGAUAUCGCUUGGAACGCCGAAGGUGAAAACGACUGCUGGGGUUGCGCCGACGCUGAGACACGAAAGCCAGGGGAGCAAACGGG